rnacentral:piRNA from 1 species
UGCCAAAAGACGUAGUUGUACACCAUGGAA